GACGAACGCUGGCGGCGUGCUUAACACAUGCCAGUCGAACGGAAAGGCCCUGGUUUUGUGGGGUGCUCGAGUGGCGAACGGGUGAGUAACACGUGAGUAACCUGCCCUUGACUUUGGGAUAACUUCAGGAAACUGGGGCUAAUACCGGAUAGGAGCUCCUGCUGCAUGGUGGGGGUUGGAAAGUUUCGGCGGUUGGGGAUGGACUCGCGGCUUAUCAGCUUGUUGGUGGGGUAGUGGCUUACCAAGGCUUUGACGGGUAGCCGGCCUGAGAGGGUGACCGGCCACAUUGGGACUGAGAUACGGCCCAGACUCCUACGGGAGGCAGCAGUGGGGAAUAUUGCACAAUGGGCGGAAGCCUGAUGCAGCAACGCCGCGUGCGGGAUGACGGCCUUCGGGUUGUAAACCGCUUUCGCCUGUGACGAAGCGUGAGUGACGGUAAUGGGUAAAGAAGCACCGGCUAACUACGUG
rnacentral:rRNA from 1 species